UUAGGAAUGUGCUCAGUUUGAGUAUUAUGUAUACAAAUGGACUCAAGCCUGUUGUUCUGAUAUCGAUCACCACACUAACUUGGAAGCAAACCAUCUUUGGAAUAUGGGUCAGAGAUGGAUUAUUGGGGAACAUGUUUUCUGUUUAUUAUUAUGAUGGAGCAAUUUACUUUUGUGAUACCUAUUGAUGGUGAUACUUGGAUUUCAGGACCACGAUUUCACCUGUGAGGAUUUUUAGAACAACAUGAACGA
rnacentral:misc_RNA from 1 species